AUUGAACGCUGGCGGCAGGCUUAACACAUGCAAGUCGAGCGGGCGAGGUUGCUUCGGUAACUGAGCUAGCGGCGGACGGGUGAGUAAUGCUUAGGAAUCUGCCUAUUAGUGGGGGACAACAUUCCGAAAGGAAUGCUAAUACCGCAUACGCCCUACGGGGGAAAGCAGGGGAUCUUCGGACCUUGCGCUAAUAGAUGAGCCUAAGUCAGAUUAGCUAGUUGGUGGGGUAAGGGCCUACCAAGGCGACGAUCUGUAGCGGGUCUGAGAGGAUGAUCCGCCACACUGGGACUGAGACACGGCCCAGACUCCUACGGGAGGCAGCAGUGGGGAGUAUUGGACAAUGGGCGAAAGCCUGAUCCAGCCAUGCCGCGUGUGUGAAGAAGGCCUUUUGGUUGUAAAGCACUUUAAGCGAGGAGGAAGCUACUUGGAUUAAUACUCUAGGAUAGUGGACGUUACUCGCAGAAUAAGCACCGGCUAACUCUGUGCCAGCCGCCGCCGUAA
rnacentral:rRNA from 1 species